GGCUUUCUUCUUACUGUACUAAGGGAUGGGGUAAGCUGCCAAGUGGUUUCCGGUUGAGGGCAUCUAUCGAAAUAUCUGCCUCAGCCGAAUAUACCGAACCUUGAAGUCGCGAAUACCACACAGUUUUUACCCAUCUCCUAUACCUCAUGUUCUUCUCCCUUGACUCAAGAUGUAUUGCAAGCUCUUUCGAUCUGUAAGGAUCUGUCCACAUACCUUAUACAGGUAUCGCCUCCACAUCUUGAGUGCAAGUAUUACCAU
rnacentral:lncRNA from 1 species